AAGUAUAGUCUGCCCUGUGAAAAAUUUUUAACGGCUGCAGUAUUUUGACUGUGCUAAGGUAGCAUAAUAAUUUGCCCCUUAAUUAGGGGCUGGGAUGAAUGGUUUGACGAGAAAAACUCUUUCUAAUUUUUAAAUUUAAUUUUCUUAAAAGGUUAAAAAGCCUUUAUAAUUUAAUGGGACGAUAAGACCCUAUAAAACUUUCACUCUUUAAUAAUAAAUAUUAUUAUGAAAAAAUUUAAACAGAGAGUUAUGCUGGGGCGGCAUUUUUUAAUUUAACUACGACUUAUUAUAAAACAAUUUUUUUGAAUUUUUUAAACCUAAUUUAAUAAUUAAGAACAAGUUACUUUAGGGAUAACAGCACAAUAUUUUUAUAGAGUUCCUAUCGACAAAAGUGUUUAUGACCUCGAUGUUGAAUUGAAAAUUCUUUAGCUGGGUAGUUUCACUAAAAGAAAGUCUGUU
rnacentral:rRNA from 1 species